CGGAUUUACAACGCUAGAAACCGGGUUUCGAUACCCAUGCUGGGAAGAGCACAGAUAGCCCAUUGUGUAACUUUGUGCUUAACUUUGGACAAAUAAACAAACAUAUUAUAACUGCGUGCUCUAAACGUAUGGUAAUUGCCUUCAGAUGCCAUGUGGUAGGCAUGUGAAAAACCUAAUGUUCUAAUAAAGUGAAAGUGAUAACUUGAAAUUAUAAUUUUUUUCGUCAUCAAGAGAAAACUGAUUCUAGCUGACGAAAAUAUUUCUAAAAAAGGUUUUUUGAUCUUCUAAUCCAGUGGUUCUCAAACAGGGGAGUGCGACCCACUUAUCCUGUGGGGGGGGGGGGCGAGAGCUGAUUCAGAGAAAAAAAAUUUUGCCACAAAAUUAUUUCCGGUAAUGAGCAACUCGACUAUACUAAAAUAUAACAUGACAUAUAACGACCACAGUUCUUUAAUAAAGUGGGGAUCAAACGUAUGGGGGGGGGGGGUGUCGAAGGAGUCUCGAUUUAAAAAAAUUUGAGAACCACUGCAGGUCUGUUCAGUAUGUUCUUUAGCACUAUUGUUUUUUGUUGUUUUUUUUGCUGUUUAAAAGCGCUUUCUUAUAAUCCAAGAUUCCAUCAUCAAGUGUCGAAGAAUUGUACAUUUGUGCGUCGUUUAAUAUUACCUUAAAUAAUGUAAAAUAUGACUCCAUGCACGUCUGCAAUUACAACAGUAAAAUUAGUAUUAGAAUUUUACUUUUAAAUUAUUUUUCGGGUGUAGAAAGUUUCAAAAUAUAAUAAAUUUGCAAAGGACAUUUUUUAUAAUAGAAAUAACGUGACAGGAUUUUUAAUCAUUAGACAACAACCAUGACUAGCUUCCACUCCCUCCCCUUUAUGAUGCUAUUAAAAGGUAUAUCAGAAAUAACGUGACAGGAUUUUUAAUCAUUAGACAACAACCAUGACUAGCUUCCACGCCCUCCCCUUUUUUGUAUCAUGAUGCUAUUAAAAGGUAUAUCAGAAAUAACGUGACAGGAUUUUUAAUCAUUAGACAACAACCAUGACUAGCUUCCACACCCUCCCCUUUUUUGUAUCAUGAUGCUAUUAAAAGGUAUAUCAGAAAUAAUGUGACAGAAUUUUUAAUCAGACAACAGCCAUGACUAGCUUCCACUCCCUCCCCUUUAUGAUGCUAUUAAAAUAUAAAUCAGAAUCCUUGUUUCAGCGUGCUUUAAAGCUGUUUGCAAUACAAGUUAGAAGAAAAUUGUCGAGCAACAAUUUUAAAAGGCAUGAUUUUUAGGUUCGGUGCAUACUUCGAAACCAUGUUCUUAUUUUGAAGGCAUGCUUUAACUGAAAAAGUUGUUUGUCAUUGACCGUUUAAAUGUACUUAAAAUCACUGUCAUGUUUUACAUAAUAAUGUGUGGUAUUAAUGUCAUUAUUAGAAUUAAUGCUUCUAACUCCAAGCUGUUCGUGCAGAAAUUAACUAGAUAUUUUUUGUACCUAAUUCCUGCUUAUAUAAAGAUAAAAAUAGCAAAUAACCUAAAACUUGUGUUCUCUAUUUAGACUUUAGAUUUAAAAAAACCAAAAAAAAAACAACAGAUAUACUAAAAUGUUAGUGUAGGUCAAAAGGAACCAAUUUUACUGAACAAAUGUGAAAAAAAAUAAUAAAAUUUCCAUUUUUUGGAGA
rnacentral:lncRNA from 1 species